UACGGAGGAGGCAAGCGUUAUCCGGAAUUAUUGGGCGUAAAGCGUCCGCAGGUGGCACUUCAAGUCUGUCGUCAAAGACUGGGGCUUAACCCUGGAAAGGCGGUGGAAACUGAACAGCUAGAGUAUGGUAGGGGCAGAGGGAAUUCCUGGUGUAGCGGUGAAAUGCGUAGAGAUCAGGAAGAACACCCGUGGCUAAGGCGGUUCUCUAGUACGGUACUGACGCUGAGACGCGAAAGCGUGGGGAGCGAACAGG
rnacentral:rRNA from 1 species